AGUCCAGUAGAUUUCAGUCUCAUUUUACCCAGCUCCUAUGCAAGAGGGAGUUGCUCUGGUUCACACGCCUCUGACACGGUGAGGAUAAUAUGGAGAACUGGAAUAUUCUCUCCAUUUCACAGAAGUUUUAUUCUCAUGGCUUAAUUCGUGUAAAAUACUUUAUAAUCCCAGAAGAAAGCCCGUCUAGCAGAUUAAGUGUACCAGCAUACAUAGACCCUGUGCACACUCACACACAGACGUGUCUAGAAACCCUGGAGCAUCGGGUGUCCUGACAUCAGAUUAUAGAAUGAGGCAUUUGCCACAUUAGACAUAUGCAUUCGGGAGUGGAAGUUACUGAAAAAUCUAAGAUCUUAGUAUUUAUCGAGGAAUUUUGUUUCCCCAAAAUUAGCUUUUAAAUCAAUAUGGCAUAACACAUCUAACUAUCACCUAAAGCUAUAUAGGCCCCCCCCCCAGAACUAUACACCCAUCAUUGAGAGCAAGACUUAAAUAUAAAGCUUUUGCGCACUCUUAAAACUUUAGAAUUAUACCAGCAGAAAACUGACAGUAGAGCAGAGUGGUUCUUAUUAGUGCUAUAAACAGAUAAUGAGAGAAAUACAGAUUGCAUUUUUUACAUUUAAAGUGUUUCACUAAUCCAGCAGAAAAAGAAUAUCAGAUGCUUCAGGAAGCUUAGUUUUAACAAAUCGCCGUGUACAUUCCCGUGCGGAGUUCAGAGUAAGACAACUGGUGGUUUCUAUUUCAGUAUAUCAUAGCUUUUCUAAAGCUGCAGUAUGGAAGUUGGAUUUUUCAUCUGGGGUGAUUCAUUUCAAUUUGUUGCAAAUAUUUAAGUGUUCCUUAAAUACAGUGUCAAUCUAAACUGAAAUGAGCUGUUCUCUAGGAGAGGAGCUUAGGUAUUCUUUAACAGAGUAAAGACGGAGAUUCACCGGAGCCCUUUUCUCUCCUGGAUGAAACAACUUCGUUAUGUUUAUGUGAUUAACGGAGUUAAGUGGAAAGACCUUUGCCCCAUGGUGUCAUCAGGAAGGUUGGAUGUUACUCAAGUUUAUCUUAAUUAAACAUUUGUAUUUAUUUUCUAAUAAAAAACAAAUGACCAGGUAUGCAUUAAGCAACUUCUCUUGGCAUUCUACCAGCGUAGUUAUGGAACCAAGAUGAAACAGAAUUGUCCUUCCAGGGCCACGCAGAAAAAGUCAAUCAAGCAGAAAUCUUGUUUGUGAUACACACUUCCUUUCUUUGUCAUAAAAUAAUAAAAUAACAUUUGUAUUAGAUGAAUAGGGUAUGUCAGACCGAAGGAGAGAGAGCGAGCAGCAGUGCUUCCUUGGAGUGUCAUGUUGGCACUCAAAAACUGUCACAUUUUGGAGCAUUUCAGAUUUUCGGAUUUGGAAUGCUCAAGCCACGUAAGAGCGAGUGAUGACCUGGUUUGAAAGGCUGAGAGAGACAGGAAAAAGGUAAUUCUAUAGGUGUAUACAGAAGAGCUGCAUGUAUAAAGGCUAUGGAAUCUCUGUCUCUAACAAGUGUAUAUUAUAUAUAUGGAGAGCGAGAGAAAGACACUAAGACUCAUAUUAAGGAAUUGGUUCACAUAAUUGUGGGGACUAGCAAGUCACAUAUCUGCAGGGAUGGCCAGCAGGCUGGACACCCAGGGAAGAGUUGAUGUUGCAGUCUUGUCCAAAGGCUGUCUGAUCGGCAGAAUUCCCUCUUCCCUGAGGACCUCAGUCUUUUUCUCUUAAAGCCUCCAACUAACUGGGUGAGGCCCACCCACAUUAUGCAGAGUAAUCUGCUUUACUCAAAGCCUACUGAUUUUGAUGUCAAUCUCAUCUAAAAAAUGCCUUCAAAGAAAUGACUAGACUGGUAUUUGACCAAAUGUCUGGGUACCGUGACCUAGCUAGGUUAACAUAUAAAGCUAACCAUUAUGUCAUCAUCAUCAUCAUCAUCAUCGCCAUCAUUGACUGUGCACCAUGUCCUAUUUUGAGCACCUGAUGCGUAUUAACUCGUUGGCUCCUUACCACAACCAUGUCAGGCACACACACUCUUACUAUAUGCAUUCUGUGGAUGAUAGGUUUGCAGUCAGAGGGGUCAAAUAACAUGCCCACAGUUUCCAUAGCUAGUCUAAUUUGGUUGUGCGCAUGUCCGUCUUGCCUACAAAUUCUCCUGGAAGACAUGGCUGGUGUUCUUCUUCAUUGAUGUGUGCUCAGUAAUUGUUCACUGAGUGAAUGGUAGUUACUGUUUUUUGAGCAGUUACUGUGUGUUAGGACUGGGUUAAGCACCCUAAUCUUGAAAAGUAUCUAAAGAGUAGAGAUUUUAACUGAUGGAAAGCUGAGGCUCUGAGAAGCCACUAACCCGAGCAAGGUCAUAGAGCUCUGAAUGAUGGAGCCAGGAUCCACAUUCAUCUCUUUGUGAUUGUGAGAUGCCUAUGAAAAUUUACCAGUAUUAAAAGAAUCAAGCCUACAUGAAAGAAUAGAUGACUCUGGAAAUACAUGAACGACUGGUUACUUGAUUUUUGUAACCUUUUCCUUAAAUCCAGGGAUUGCGCAUUCUGAAUGUUCCAGGACAUUCUUCCCAAUUAUAACCACCCUCCCCUUAACACUCUCAUGUUAGACCAAUUGCCACAAGACAUACCAUCCUUAAACAAAAUGUGUUAUUCUAUUACUGUUUUCACAUCUUCUCUGUUAAAAAUCCUUCAAUUCAUUUAAAUUCUAUGGCUUUUAUAUAUGUAGCUCCUCCAUAUCCUCCUAAAGGUCUUUGUGAAUGACCUUUUCCCUUCUCUCUCAGCCUUUCAGACCAGGACAUCACUGGCUCUUAUACAGGUUCAGCAUCCCAAAUCCAAAAAUCCAAAAUCCAGAAUGCUCCAAAAUUCAACUUUCUGAGCACUGACGUGGUACUCAAAGGAAAUGCUCAUUGGAACAUUUUGGAUUUCAGAUUUAUGGAUUUGGGAUGCUCAACCGGUAUUCUGUAAUGUAAAUAUUAAAAAAAAAAAAUCCAAAAUCCAAAAUGCUUCCAGCCCCAGCAUUUUCAGAUGGACCUGUUCCUCUCCAUCAAGAAAUAGGUCCUACCCUGCUUCUCUUUUCCUGAACAUAAAUCGUCAUCUCAGAGUGUUAUUUUCUGGGCUUUUGGACCCAUGAAAAAACCAUAGCUGUCCUGGGAUUAGACCUGAGAGGCUGAGAGCUGUGCUUACUGAGGUGUCCUGAGUUGACACUGCUCAUGAAAAGUGCCACAGUUAAAUCCACCUUGGGCUGGUGUCUGAGCUAAGAGGGGAAAAAAAAAUGCAUGACAAUAGUUACUGAAGGAAGAAACCCUUCCUGAUGAAGGUCGUUAGAACUCUCAAGUGUGUUUGCCUUUUUAGCAAGUGUGUUUACACUUCGGAAGUCCAGUCAUUUCUCUCCAUGAGCCCGAGUCUGCAGACAAAAUGAAUGCACCCUCCUGCCUUUUUCUUCCUGGGGUCUUCUGAGUUUGAAGUUGGAUUUUGCCCCUUUAGUUUUGGGUGAUUCCUCCUGCAAGUUAGAAGAUGAAGUUACAGCCUGUAAACUGUGUAAGUACACAGCCUCAGAUGGCAUUUCCUCCCAUCCGUGUCAGCGCGUACGGGGAUUUGACAGGUAACAAGAACACCUUUCCGCUCUAAUCCUCCUGGCUGCUUCUCGGACAUCUCCCUGAAACUCAGCUGGCUCCCUCAUCCCUUUCAUUUCUGGGCGGUCUGAUUAGGGUAAAACCCAUCAUCAAAGCAGGCCAGGUGCUGAUACUCAGCACACGAAGCUGUCAGGAAGUGAUCCUUCAGAUUUCCUGGGGAUUCCUGCCCACAUAGCCCCGCCAGGCUGUAACAGCUCCUGUGCCUCAGGUGGGGGAUUAGCCGAGACCGCAUGGCUAGUGAUUGCUAAUCUUUCCGUACCAGCCAGCCGAGGUCCUCUAAUUAAUACCCAGCUCGUAAAUACCCAAAUCUGUUUCCCCAGAGGGUGUAGUUCCUGAGGGUUAGAUUAGCCAGUUAGUAUGGGUGAUUUUCCUCUUCUGAUUUUAGAAUACAGAUAAUGGAGAUUUUUUUUUAAGAUUUCUGUUUGAAUUUGUGUUCUUACUUCCUGCCUCCUCCUGCCUUUAUUCAGUGAUUCAUCAUGCAACUCCCUGAGCUGAGGAUGAGUAACUGGGUUACUUACUGGGAAGACCUUUUAUUUAAAGGCGUAUUGUUUCACAUAGAUGGUCUCAGUUCCUUCCUCCAUGUCACUAAGGACUCUGAUGUCUUACUGUCCUAGCUCCUUUCAGUGGAAUGGAAAAAAUGGAAGUGUGUUCAGAUUGUGAGGGGAUGCUCAGCUUCUCCUGAGGGCAGACCCUGCCAAAAUAGAAAAGUGGCCCUGGAGUAUUCAGGUAGAUAAUAGCCCUUUGAUACGGUCUAUUUAUAGGGUCCUAGAAACACUGAUGGUGGAGCUAAGGUCUCAGGAAGUUGUCAGCCAUCCUGUGGAAUGUAAGAUUGUCACAGUCCAUCAUCAGGGGGUGGCCCACCAUCUCUGCACACUUUGGAAUGUUUCAGUCCCCUUCUUCCUAGAUUGUACAUGCUGCUGUAGUGAGAACAUGUCUUCUCAGUAAGGUUCAUGGUGCUUUGUUCUUAGUACUUUGUUAUUUCAGAGAAGAUCCUGAAAGAAAAUGCCAGCUCCAGGAGUUAUAAAGUGCUCAUGAAAUAUUUGUAGAAUGGCUGAAUGAGAAUAAUUUCUAUAGGUAAAUUGUUUGGCUAAGUGCAGUAAGAAGGGGUUCUUCUGAAAGUAACAUGUCCAUUGUCCCAUAGGCAGAGCUCGGCCAUAACACAUAGGUGAUAUUUCAUGUUGCAGUGGUGGCCACCAGGCAACUGCCCUGCCGUGAAUACCAUGUUGACAGGGAUUCCGAUGGGUCUUCAUGGUUCUGGAGAAUGCCACAUGUGCAAGAGAAGGCAGUAGACAUUUGCCAUCACUGUGCUAAUGCUAAACAUUAGAUGACCUCCCAUGUUCAGACAUGAAUGUGCCGGGAUUUUAGGAGGCUUAUAAACACACAUCUUUUCUUUCCCCCCUGAAUUCAAAACUAGUUGAGAAAUAAGGCAUAAAUGACAGUCAAAUGUAGGUCAGUGUCCCAGCUGACAAAGCAGACCAGAGAAGGUGGCCUUCAGACUGUGUUUCUUCUCCCUGGAAUUAAACAUCGCAGUCCCACUGGUCUCAGGUGAUGCUCUGCAGCCACAGCUUCUCCUGAGGGCAGGCCCUGCUAGCUGCGUUUUCUGCAUGGCAGGAGAGCAGCAUAGAUUCACUGUCUCCUUGAGAAGAUCCAGAAGGACUUAGCUGAGCUGUGUGCACCCAUUCUUCUCCCCGACAGAGGCAUUAAUGGAAGACGGCCCUCCUGCUCAGGGGGUUGUGAAUGAGGGGCUGAGCUUGGGUGGAAGUGCCCCUUCCCAGUGGCUUCUGAGGGGGCGGGGUUCUUCCCUCUGGGUGAUUUUCUCAUUGUAGUUAGAGGUUUUGUGGGAUGUUCCCUUUCCUUACCUUGCUUCUGUGGUUCCCUUACUGUGAUUUGCUUUACUUGUCAUUGGCUGCUUCAGAGACACUUAAGAACAUGUGUGCAGCACCGUGGAGGCCCUGGAGGUUUGUCUGUUGUUUUAGGGAAUUCCCUUUGUAGCUCUGUACAUGCGGGGUCCCAGAGGGGCCUUCUCCUGGGAAACGUUUUAAGCAGAACUUUACGAAAACUCACAGAACAUGUUCAUUCGCCUUCUAAACAUGAAAAUACCCAUUUGGUCAGUGUUCAGUGUGAAACCAUUGAACUAAACAUGUCAAACCACAGGACUAAAGGAGACCUGACACUUCAUUUGGAUACCCCUGUCUAGAUCCUACUGCCACCAGGCGCAUGGCAGAAAGAAGCGUCCCGAGUCCGAGACCCAGUCCGAGCCCACCUCUGGUGGGGAGAUUCGGGCAAGGCUUUCUGUUCACCUGCUGUGUUGUCCUGCAGGUUCCUUUCAGUUCCUGGUGCUAUUGUUCUCCACCAUUCUAGAGAAAUAACUGGCUGCCCUAGAGAUGCUGGUGCUACCUCCAAAGCCUGUAACUCAUGGUGGACAUUAUGCACCGGGACCCAGGGACGGUCAUGGUGCUCGGUUGGGGUUGGCACUGGAGUUGAAGCUCAUCUUCCAUCCCUCCCUUUUUAACUACCUCCGGACACAAUUAAUUAUUCAUUCUACCAGAUGUCAAGUCUCGUGUUUGAAAGAGCCUUUCACACAGGCACACAUAUGUUUAUUGCAGCACUAUUCACAAUAGCAAAGACCUGGAACCAACCCAAAAACCCAUCAAUGAUAGACUGGAUAAAGAAAGUGUGGCACAUAUACACAGUGGAAUACUAUGCAGCCGUAUAAAAGGAUGAGAUCAUGUCCUUUGCAGGGACAUGGAUGUAGCUGGAAACCAUCAUUCUCAGCAAACUUAUCACAAAAACAGAAGACCACACACCACAUGUUCUCACGCAUAAGUGGGAGUUGAACAAUGAGAACACAUGGACACAGGGAGGGGAACAUCACACCCCAUCUAUCAGGGCCUGUCAGGGGUGGGGGACAAGGGGAGGGAUAGCAUCAGGAGAAAUACCUAAUGCAUGCGGGGCUUAAAACCUGGAAGAUGGGUUGGUGGCUGCAGCAAACCACCAUGGCACACGUAUACCUGUGGAACAAACCUGCGUGUUCUGCACAUGUAUCCUGGAACUUAAAACAACAACAACAACAACAACAAAGAGUCUUUCCAAUUCUUAAGCUAAAUACUAUGCCUCAAGUUUAAGCUCCUUGCUUUCUUCAUGAGUUCUUAAAGGAACUUUUCCCAAGUAAUCCCCGAGUCCAAUGUUGCAUUUGUCUGAAAGGGAUCUCAUAGAAUUCGAAGAAAGAGAAAUUAAAUUUUUAUUUUUUAAAAAAGAUCUCAGGUGAAACUCAUCACUAAUAGCACAGGGCUCAGCCUUUCUGCACCACCUUCUUCCAUUAUGCUCCUUUCUGGAAACAUCAAUCUGUUUUAAUUAUGCACAUAUAUAUUUAUUAUCUGAAAACUGAAUCCAGUUUGCCUUUCUCUGAAAUUACUUUGUUGCAAUGCAGCUUCUAGGAGCAUAGUUAACAUCAAUAAAAAAAACCACAUUAUUGAAACUGUACAUUAUGAUCAGGAAUAGAACAAGAAGAUCUAUGUAGCACAACGAAAAAGUGAAUUGGAAACUAUGAUUAAUGGAGAAGUCUACGGGGUCACGUGGAAACUGUUUACCUUGCCACCUCUCUGUAGUUAUUAAAACUCUUGAAAAUGCAUGUUCUUAUCCUAAGAGUGUGGAACUGACGUUGAGGAGUAUUUUGCAUGUGCCAGACACAGAUGAAUUCAAGACACAGUCUCUACACUCUGGAUUUCUACAGUUUAACUGGACAGAGAGAGAUGAACAAAACUGCAGUGGAGCGUGUCAGGUGCCAUAGUAUGCAAGGCCCAGCGCCCUACCCGAGCAAAGGAGGUCAGCACUGGUUGGCUGGACCCUGGCCAGGCUUGCUGUGGGGAAGGGGUCGAUGCACUGUGGAGAAGGCCAUUGGCACUGAUGGUCCCUACGGAGCGGAACAUUCUCAUGGCUUUGUCUGUUACCCAGAUAACUAGAGGAUGCUCUGUGUGCAAAUCUUGUUUUCUUUAAUCAGCAUAAAAUCUGGAAUGAGGAGAAAUAGCUUCUGAAAUGCCCUUUCUCAGAGAAGGAUGAGCAGAAUGAGCCAUACCAUCUACACCGGGAGUGUCCAGUUUUUUGGCUUCCCUGGGUCACAUUGGAAGAAGAAGAAUUGUCUUGGGCCACACACAAAAUAAACUAACAGUAACAAUAGCUGAUGAGCUAAAAAAAAAAAA